rnacentral:rRNA from 1 species
GGCCUGCCCACUGAUGAUAUUGAAUGGCCGCAGUAUUUUAACUGUGCAAAGGUAGCAUAAUCAUUAGUCUUUUAAUUGAGGGCUUGUAUGAAUGGUUGGACGAGGCAUUAGCUGUGUCAUGUAAAUUGAUUUAGAAUUUUAUUUUUUAGUUAAAAAGCUAAAAUGUUUUUGAAAGACGAGAAGACCCUAUAGAUCUUUAUAGUUUGGUUAUUUUAAUAAUUUAGAUUCUUUUUAUUAUAAAUUUACUAGAUUAUUGUGUUGGGGUGACAUUGAAAUUUAAGUAACUUUUGAUGUUAUUUUACAUAAAUUAAUGGUUUUUUGAUCCAGUAAUAUUGAUUAUUAAUUUAAGUUACCUUAGGGAUAACAGCGUAAUUUUUCUAGAGAGUUCUUAUCGAUAGGAGAGAUUGCGACCUCGAUGUUGGAUUAAGAUAUAAUAUUAGGCGCAGCAGUUUAAAUAUAAAGUCUGUUCGAG